rnacentral:rRNA from 1 species
UACGGAGGGAGCUAGCGUUGUUCGGAAUUACUGGGCGUAAAGCGCACGUAGGCGGCUUUGUAAGUUAGAGGUGAAAGCCCGGGGCUCAACUCCGGAACUGCCUUUAAGACUGCAUCGCUUGAAUCCGGGAGAGGUGAGUGGAAUUCCGAGUGUAGAGGUGAAAUUCGUAGAUAUUCGGAAGAACACCAGUGGCGAAGGCGACUCACUGGACACAUAUUGACGCUGAGGUGCGAAAGCGUGGGGAGCAAACAGG